AAAGUUGUUGCAGUUAAAAAGCUCGUAGUUGGAUCUCGGGACGGGGCGAAUGGUCCGCCCUUGCGGGUGUGCACUGGUCGCCCCGUCCUUUGAGUCGGUGACGCUACUCUGGUCUUUACUGGCUGGGGUGCGGAGUCGGCGAUGUUACUUUGAAAAAAUUAGAGUGCUCAAAGCAGGCUCGUGCUCUGAAUACAUUAGCAUGGAAUAACGCUAUAGGACUCUGGUCCUGUUGUGUUGGUCUCCGAGAUCAGAGUAAUGAUUAAUAGGGACAGUUGGGGGCAUUCGUACUCCAUUGUCAGAGGUGAAAUUCUUGGAUUUAUGGAAGACGAACUACUGCGAAAGCAUUUGCCAAGGAUGUUUUCAUUAAUCAAGAACGAAAGUUGGGGGCUCGAAGACGAUCAGAUACCGUCCUAGUCUCAACCAUAAACGAUGCCGACUAGGGAUUGGCGGAUGUUAUUUGGAUGACACCGCCAGCACCUCAUGAGAAAUCAAAGUCUUUGGGUUCCG
rnacentral:rRNA from 1 species